rnacentral:sRNA from 1 species
AUGCACCACUCGUACCCUGCUGUUCCUCCGCGCCGUCCACGCCUAUGUAACGACUGUUCGCCAGGUUUUUAUUC